rnacentral:rRNA from 1 species
UACGUAGGUGGCGAGCGUUGUCCGGAUUUACUGGGCGUAAAGCGCGCGCAGGCGGUUCGUUAAGUCUGGUGUGAAAGCUCCCGGCUCAACUGGGAGAGGUCAUCGGAUACUGGCGGACUCGAGGGAUGCAGAGGAAGGUGGAAUUCCCGGUGUAGUGGUGAAAUGCGUAGAGAUCGGGAGGAACACCAGUGGCGAAGGCGGCCUUCUGGGCAUUUCCUGACGCUGAGGCGCGAAAGCGUGGGGAGCGAACCGGG